rnacentral:lncRNA from 1 species
CUAGCAAAGCCUGAAAGUUCUGAUAUUACAGUAAUAAGUGUGAAGUGAAUUUUGAGUGGCAUUUAUAUCUGUUCAUGGGCUCUAAAUGUUUGAUUUGCAUAACUAGUUAAAAUGAUAUCAGAGCAGCAUAUUGAUUUAAUUCCAUCUCAGAAAACUGUUAAUUAAUAAUGAUAAUAAAUGUGUCAGUCCUUUAUUAUCUGCUUUGAAUUGGUGAUGAUAGCUAUAUUAAUACCACUUCAGUAAUAGACCUCUGCUGGCUAUUGUUGGCAAAGCUUUCAAGGCCCGAAUCACCUGCAAUCAGAAUUGAGAAAAUUUAUUGCAGAUCAGUUCUAAAAGGAACAGCCAUUCCAUCAUAUAUGUAAUUUUAUUAAUACCUACAUUUUAAUUUAACAUUUUAUUUACAUAAAUCAUUGUGAUCAGAAACUUCAGGAGGGCUUUAAACAAAGGCACUUUUUCAUUUUUACGUCCCAAGUUAAAAGUUGCUUAACGGAAGGACUGUGCUCAGGAUGAUCCCAUUUGGUGGGGUUGGCAGACUGGUGGCCCCUCCUGCUGCGUUUUCCUCCUGGCUGGGCUGGCCACAGUCUCACUUGCAUCGUUAAGGUGAAUCUGCCAUUUCUCCUACAGUGCACAACGGUUUGUGUGUGUGUGAAUGGUGGGAUGGCUGAGGCUAGGGCGGGGAGAGCAUCUUUUUCCUCCCUGUUCUCUCAAGGACUGCCAUAGUUUCAGAUGUAGGUCUCCCCCCUCUGGUUUUUGGCAGAGGUGUGAAUACCAAUACCAAGACGGCUUCUGCAUCUUUGGAUUUCUAGAAAGCAAGGGUAAACAUGGAUAGUCAUGUUGCAGUGGCUAGGCAUUUCUGCAAGCUGAGAGUGCCAGGGCCCAAUAACUCUAGGUUUCCAGAAAGCAUGUCAGAGGCCCAAGAGGAAAUCUCCCAUGAGGCUCUCAGUGGCUUAAUCUCCAGCACAUCCAAUAACCAUGACUGUUGAUAAAUGUAUCUUGGCAAUUUUGUAAUCUCUCUCUGAGCCUUGGUUUCUGCCUUUUUUUUGUCUUUUUUAGGGCUGCACCUGUGGCGUAUGGAGGCUCCCAGGCUAGGGGUCUAAUCGGAGCUAUUGCUGCCAGCCUACGCCAGAGCCACAGCAACUUGGGAUCUGAGCCGCAUCUGCAACCUACACCACAGUUCACAGCAACGCUGAUCCCUAACCCACUGAGCGAGGCCAGGGAUCGAACCCGCAACCUCAUGGUUCCUAGUUGGAUUCAUUUCUGCUGCACCACUACGGGAACUCCAGCCUUGGUUUCUUAAUAUAUAUACUCAUGUAUAUCUAUCUGUGUGUGUGUGUCUGUCCUGUCUAUAUUUCCUAGUGCUUGGCAUCUGGAAAAUGCUUGAUGAUUUGCAUUCCUUCUCUUUAUUUUCCUUUUAAGCUAGGAGCCCACACUUACCACUCCUUGUCCAUCUGCAGGCUGAACAAAGACCUGAGCAGCCUCCAUCCUCAGAAUCAGCAGUUUUAGUAACUACUGGGUCUACAUCAAGGAGCCUGGGGAACUUGCUUUUUCCCCAUUAGAAAUUUGCCCCUAGGCCAAUGGUCUGUUGCCUUGCAUGUCUCCCAGACAUGCAUGUUUGGUUGGUAUCUGUGGAUGUAAGUGAUGGUUGCUUUGAAAUGGGCAUAAGAUGUCCUUUCUUCUUUCUUGAACUUGAUUUUGCCUUUUGCUCUUCCAUCUGACUUUUUCAUAGGGAACACAUUUCUAGCCACGAGACCAUCUUUCUGCAGAAUCUUCUCACAGGUUGUAACUGAACUGUUGUCCAGAGAGAUUGCAACUUGCCCAAGACCUCAGAGCCUCUCGCUCUAAGUCACGUGUUCCUUCUACACCACCUACCAGUGCUUUCCGGUAGCUCCUGGAAACUCGUGCCGCCUGGAAAAAGAACCCCAGUUCUAUCUAUUGGGCGCCCAUCUGUUUCAGUUGCUGCUCAUUACUCCCUUUCCAGGUUCCACCAGGCAGUGAGCCUGGCAACAACCCCUCCCUCCCACUCGCACAUAUGCCAGUGGGUCUUGGCCUUCAGAAUGGCUUCCUAAGUCUCCUUUGGGACUCUCCUGUCACCAGACUUUCCCACUCACGAUGAGGGGCGGGGGGUGGUGGUGGUGGAACAAGCCCUUUGUUUGAGCCUGCCAUAGAUUAGUCCGGCUUGGAAGGAGCGCUGGCUUUCCCAACUCCUGUGGGUGUGUCUCCAGCUGAAUGUUCCUCUCCUGACUUUGAUUUCUCUCUCAGCGAGUGGGGGUGUAAUUCGCCUUGACAUCGCUGGCCAUCAGCGCCACACUGAAGUGGGCCUUCUUUGACUCGAAGUGACAGCCCUUGGCCCCUGUGACAUUGUUUCCAUAGAUUUGCAGUGAAACAGUUUUAUAUUUUGCAAAAUAGAGUGCUCUCCUAUGACUGGCAUUGAUGGGGUUUUUGCCAUGGUUUUCUGGGGGGGCGAUAACCGUGUCCACUGACCCACCCUCAACUGAUUCCCCUUAUUCUGGCAUCUGGACACAUUGCUCUUACUUAGGUUGCCUGGAUGAUGACUUUGUUUGGUUUUUUUAAAACCAUCACGUGCUCUGACCAUUUAUAGACCCUUUCCUGUUAUUCUAUUGGCCCCCAGUGUUCUAAGACCUUGGCUGCCCAUUAGGAACCUUUCCAUUUUGGCUGUUCGACAAUCACAGAAGUCAUCAGUCACCUGGGAGAAGAGGAAGCUUGAAUACUCUCUCCUGAAAGUUUUUACUCUGGUGUAUUUUACCCUCAGUGACAGCUUGAGAUAUAGUCAGAGGGGCUAUCAAUGUCAGACCUUUGUUUGAGAUGUGGAAAUACUUGCUGAAGUUUACUAGGGGAAGGGGCUGGGCUGUCCAUUGGUGGUCCUUACUUUCCAGAGAAGCUUAAGUCACUAUCUUGUUCUCAGAAUUUUCUAAAAAUACCUGGAGGCAGAAAAAUAAGUAAGUUUCCUAAUCCCACCUAAAAAGAAGUGACAGUUGUGGUACUUUUUCAAAAUUUUUUUUUUUUUUUUUAGGGCUGCACCUGUGGCAUGUGGAAGUUCCCAGGCUGAGGGCUGAAUUGGACCUGUACCUGCCGGCCUACAUCACUGUCAGGGCCAAUGCCAGAUCUGAGCUGCAUCAGUGACCUACACUGUAGCUUGCAGCAAAGCUGGAUCCUUAAACCACUUAGUAAGGCUUGGGACUGAACCUGUGUCCUCAUGGAUAAUAUAUUCUUAACCCACUGAGCCACAAUGGGAACUCCUUUGCUACCUUUUUUUACCCUUCUUGAAGACUAACCUUUAGACUUUGAAAUUUAUGAUCUUAGACUUGCCAAGAUUGAGUUAUCAGGGUUGGCUUUACUAAUAAACUCUUAGGCUUCUGAGAAAGUAUAACACUUAGGGAAAUAGUUUAAUAUUUUACCUAAGCUUGCACCCUUUGUAUUGUCAGGCAAAUGUUAAAAUGUGCUAGGAAAGUAUUUUUUUUUUUUUUUUCUUGGCUACCAGUUUUGUCUUGUGGGGUGGGGGGGACUAGUUUGCCUUUAGAAAAGGUGGAGGGAGAGUCUGUGUCUUUUGCAGCACAGGCUGCUGAAGGGGUCCCAAGACCGAGACUCUUAUUCCAUCCUUAUGUUGUCACAGGAUCAUUCCUCCCUCCACCUCACCCCCCAUCCCAAGAUGUCUGGUUUGGGCUUGACUCUGCUGGUGAGAAUUUUCUGAACAACUCCAUGAAUGUCUCUGACCCUGGCUCCUCCCUGUGGGUUGGGGGAGGGGCCCCAGGAGAGCGGAUUCCUGGCAGAUGUGGUGCAUGAACGCUUGAGCCUGUGUUGGAGAUGAAAUGGGAUGUCAGGCUCUGGGAGGUUCUCUGGAGGCAUCUCCUAAGGCAUGAAGAUUAUUUACAUAUUAAAAAAAAAAUUAAGACCAAACUUCUCUAAGUGCUGGCUUUUCUUCUUAACAGCCUUCGUAUGCACAUUCUUUUAGAUUCUGGUCUGGCUCUUUUUCUCUGGUGGCCACAAACUUUCUGGCCUAACUUCCUAAAUGGGGGAAGAAGGAUUUCCAGGGUAGAGCUUGCACUUAGAAGCCUGGGACUAGGAGGUGGGAAGGCUGGCUUGUGAACUCUGGCUGAGGUGGGCAACGUACUCCGUGAGGUGUAAAAGUUGUUCCAGCAAGAGGAGGUGGCGUUGAAACAUCCUUUUGGAUGGCGUUUGAAUAUUUUUUUCGUUGCUCCUACCCACUCCCUGUGUGGGUUUGUAUUCUUUAGCCCCAGCUGUUUGUGAUAUUUCACUGUCAAAUACAUAAUUAACAAUUUUGUAAGCCAAGUUUAGUGAUUUUUUUUUUUUUUUACAUUCAUGCACUGAACGUCUUUUCUGUCUUAAGCCAGUUACAUCUUUUUUAUUGAAUACUGUUCUCCCCCCGCCCCAUAACCUGUUUCCAGAAAAUUUGUCAUUCUAACAUCUUUCCAAAGAGUGAACUGUAUCAAAGGGGGCUUGAGAAACUGUAUCAAAGUGGAUUCAGGAAUACAGAUGUGGGUUGUGGUGUGGAAUUGCUUUGGAAUUUGAAACUGGUUCUGUAGACUGAGUUGAUGAUGGAUCCAGUCGUGAAUAAUUUUUUGAAACCGAUGAUGUCACUGGCAGUUUUAUGACUAGGAUUUUGGUAGACGAGCGUAAGUUGCUGGAAUAGGGUGAGAAAGCAAGUCACAGCUAAGGGCUGAGCCAGUAAAAUAAAACCAAGGAGUUAAAAAAAUAGGUUUGUUUACAUUUUUUAAAGAGUGGUAAUGGAUUCUCCCACAGUAUGAUAGUUUAUUCUGGUUUGUUCUUUUCUAGUUUUAGAAAAUUUAUGACUAGAAAUCAUCACAUAGGGUCAACAGAGAAUCAUAUCAUCUGAAUAGAAUUCAAAGUUCAUUUUGGAUAAGAUAGUCCCAAUAAACCAGCAUUAUACAGAGACUUAACGUGAUAGAGAUUCUUUACCUCAAGUCAAAAGUGUGCAGUCUUUUUCGUGGCCCAACAUUAGAGAAAGUCAGGGUUUGAGAUAAAAGUGUCAACUUCCAUUAUGAUUUAAAUUCAACGCUUAAAUUUGGGAAGAUCUCAU